UCCUUGUUAGUGUAGUGGUGAGUAUCCCCGCCUGUCACGUGGGACACUGGGGUUUGAUUCCCCAACAGGGAG
rnacentral:tRNA from 1 species